GAUGAACGCUGGCGGCGUGCCUAAUACAUGCAAGUCGAACGCUGAAGGAGGAGCUUGCUCUUCUGGAUGAGUUGCGAACGGGUGAGUAACGCGUAGGUAACCUGCCUGGUAGCGGGGGAUAACUAUUGGAAACGAUAGCUAAUACCGCAUGACAACAGUUAUUGCAUGAUAACUGUUUAAAAGGGGCAACUGCUCCACUACCAGAUGGACCUGCGUUGUAUUAGCUAGUUGGUGAGGUAACGGCUCACCAAGGCGACGAUACAUAGCCGACCUGAGAGGGUGAUCGGCCACACUGGGACUGAGACACGGCCCAGACUCCUACGGGAGGCAGCAGUAGGGAAUCUUCGGCAAGGGACGGAAGUCUGACCGAGCAACGCCGCGUGAGUGAAGAAGGUUUUCGGAUCGGAAAGCUCUGUUGUAAGAGAAGAACGAGUGUGAGAGUGGAAAGUUCACACUGUGACGGUAGCUUACCAGAAAGGGACGGCUAACUACGUG
rnacentral:rRNA from 1 species